AGAGGGGGAGAGAGAGAGAGGGGAGAAGCGGCGCGUGAGGGGAACUGUGGCGAGGGGAAGCAGUCCCACCAGCUUCUGCCUGCCUGCUGCUGUGUCCGAGGGCCCGGGAUCGCUGUACCACGCGGGAGCCACAGUCGAGUGCGCGGUGCCAACCCUCACGCACGGGUUCAGCCAUUGGCACUCCCCCCUCCGUCUCCGUCGUGUUCAUUGUGGCAGCCUGUUGUGGCACGCUCCUCUCACCUGCCACGGAUACGUAGGCGGACGCGAGGAAGGUUCUGCCGCUGCCGGAUACGAGUUUACGGGUUGAACCGCCGCGCGAGUGAGUCUGAGUUGGUUUAGAGAAGGAGAAAGAGAGAGAGAAAGGAAGAGAAGGAAAACAGGACGAGAACUACGAAAGCGCGACUCAUUAGGGAGUUAACGGGCGCGAACGACAGUUUAUUAUGAGUAACAAUGCAGAGAAAGAAAGAGAGAGAAAGUCGAAACUAAAAUGCCCGACUUAGAGAACCUUGACAUUCGGCAGCUGGAAACGAUACACUCAUGAGCGCCUUGAGUUCGUGGGCAAAGGAGAAAAGGUGUGAGUGGAUCCAGAUAUAAAGCCAGUCACGAGUGAGGAGGAGGAGGGGUCGCCCACCAACCUACCCACUCACUCACCCACUCACCCACCCAACCCCCGCCCUACCCCUGGUAUUCAUGAGCGAGAGGAGCAAUAUCCCAGACGGUGAAACAGGCCACAAGAAAGCCAUGGGUCCGAGCAGCGUUGUCAGCACCAUCGGGAAGAUAGAUAAAAGAAGCCAAUACUAAUGGAUCGUUUAUGACACAUCACCAUUGACCACGUGUUUCUUGGAACUUGUCGGUGAUACUGCGGGACAUAUAAACACCCCCUCCCCCCUUCGCUAUACCGUUAAGUCAAGGCAGAAAGAUGAGAGUGAGUCACCAGAUCAUAUGACUGACGACUGAUCAGAAACCUUUUGUAAAAAAAAUCAAAUAAAACAAAAAAACAAACUCACUUUUGAUAGAUAUAAACGCAUGAGCCGAUUAGUGAACGGAAAGAGUAACGAGUGCCAUGGAGUGCCCCAAGAAGGAAGAGUUAACAGCUAGAAAAGUCAUUUACUGAACGUGACAGCAAUCUCUAGUUUCUGAUGACUGACAGUGACAGAUAACGUGAAACUUGAUUCGCAAGUAUAAGUCAUUAAAAGGUAAAAAAUACAACCAAUAAGAUACUUCAAGUAGACUUCCCCCCAAAAGGAGCUCCGGAGACACGACAGAGAAGAAAACAAAGCUCUGGUCGGCUCACAUUCACGCUCACAUUCACGCACACUCACAAACCCAAACUUCACUUUCCUCCCACACACGUCUCCACGCACACUGACGGUCUCACAACUUCGCCGUGCCAGUUUCCAUAUAUAUUAGCCAUUUUUCUGGUCACAUAAAGCUCCUGUAAAUAACUUCUAACGUUGCCUUGAUUUGAAGUUUGAGAUCAUCGAAGUUAACUCUUUUGAGACUACUUUUUCUGAGAUAUUUAAUCUCGAACAAAAUUUGUUGUAAUGUAAAUUUCAUUAAAGAUCGCUACAGAGACAUUUUUAUUUUGGUGCAGGUUUAUCGUCUACCGACAUUUCUCUUGCUCAUCCUGAAUAACUAAAUUCAUACUAAAGCAUAUGAGUGAAAUCUCCCUUAACCUUUUAACUAUUUGCUUCCUGUUUUUUAAUUCAAAUCUCUUGGAAUGACGUAAGCACUGACACAUUGCCCUUGGUACAUUUGCUGCUACUUGACCAAGAGAUAAAAAAAAAAAUGUUUCUCCAGUGUCUGUAUCAUUGCUUGCUUGUCCUUUCCACCACGAGAGCAUUAUGCUAGCACGAGGAAAUCCUCAUCAUAACACACCCCAACACCACCAUUACACCCGUAAAGGAUCGGUUCCCUAACGCACCAUCAAAACAUCACUGUCACAGCGACUGCCACAGCAACAGCCAACACAGCCUCUCUAUCCCUCCCUCCCUCCCUCCCCCCUCCCCCUCAAAAAAAUAAACAACAUCCCUUCCCUACCCAGGUCUCCCCCUCCUUCCACCCUAACGACACACACGCAACGGCAACAAACAACAGCAACAACAAACAACAAACAACCUCUCCCUUCCCCCCUUUAAACCUGGCUCAGUAACCUCCCUGAGUAUUUUGUAGUGCAAGUGACAUACCAAAUCAGGCUAUAUGAAAAAGGUAUGCGUCGUAUUCCACCUUAGGGCCCCUUGCAUGGAGUACCACACGACCAGGAAAUCAUCAUCCUGCUACGAACUGCACGUGAUGUUUCCUAACCCCGAGGGCCCUGGAUGCUGCGCAAUCGUCCUUACUAUCAUCUCCUAUCUCCUCAUCAUCGCUACUUUCCCGUUCUCACUAUGCAUGUGCAUCAAGGUAAGUGUGAAUUUUAUGUUGUUGUUUUAAGAAGAUUUUUAUUUGUAUUUUUUUUUUUUUUUUUUUUGGGGGGGGAGGGUUAAACAAAGGGGAAUAUAG